rnacentral:rRNA from 1 species
CGAAUGCUGACAUAAGUAACGAUAAAGCGGGUGAAAAGCCCGCUCGCCGGAAGACCAAGGGUUCCUGUCCAACGUUAAUCGGGGCAGGGUGAGUCGACCCCUAAGGCGAGGCCGAAAGGCGUAGUCGAUGGGAAACAGGUUAAUAUUCCUGUACUUGGUGUUACUGCGAAGGGGGGACGGAGAAGGCUAUGUUGGCCGGGCGACGGUUGUCCCGGUUUAAGCGUGUAGGCUGGUUUUCCAGGCAAAUCCGGAAAAUCAAGGCUGAGGCGUGAUGACGAGGCACUACGGUGCUGAAGCAACAAAUGCCCUGCUUCCAGGAAAAGCCUCUAAGCAUCAGGUAACAUCAAAUCGUACCCCAAACCGACACAGGUGGUCAGGUAGAGAAUACCAAGGCGCUUGAGAGAACUCGGGUGAAGGAACUAGGCAAAAUGGUGCCGUAACUUCGGGAGAAGGCACGCUGAUAUGUAGGUGAAGCGACUUGCUCGUGGAGCUGAAAUCAGUCGAAGAUACCAGCUGGCUGCAAC